UUUGGGCUUAAAGAAAAGUUCGGGUCUAAUUGGGCCCAUUGGGCCUAAACCCAUUGGGCUUUUAUUCAAGCAUAGGAUGACUUGAAAUAAUAGCCCAAAGCCCAAACAACACUAAAGGGGCCGGCCAAAGGAGGGAGAGAGAGAGUCAAAUGUUGACUUGUUUCUUUUUGGUUAUAAAAGGAACUUUAUAGCACAAAGUUUCAUCAGGGUUUUUUGAAAUGUUAAAACAAAAAAAAGAGAAAAAAAAGAAAAUAUCUCUCUCAACACUCAAAGGGUCGGCUACCAAAGGGGGGUUUAGCUAAUCAUCUUCUCACCCGUUUGGUUAUUCCUUCAUCCUUCUCACUACUCUAGUGGGUGAGGAUCUUUAGAGGUCUUCAACUUUGGAGACUUAAGGAGAACCAAGGAGCACUCAUUCUAACAAAGUGGAGGAGGCAAGGAAGGAGGCUAGGCUCAAGGAGUUCCAACAACAAAGGGCUUGGAGGUGGUCCAUCCUUGGUCUAAAGUCUAGAUCAAGAGGUAUAUAAAACUACUCCUACACUUUGUUCUUCAAUAAAUUGUUUUUGAUGCAUCAUACAUAAACCUAUGCAUCUUGAAGGGGAUUUGCAUGACUAUAGCUUUGAUAUUAUUUGAUAACAUGCUUCCGUUGCUUUCGUAUAUAAAUUUUGAAUUGUAUAUGCAUGCUAGUCACUAGAAAUCCCACAUGAAAUCUCACAAUUUCCCUUCACUCUUUUAACACCCUAAUUUGUUUAUCUUCUUCCAAUGGAUUGAGGUCAGAUGCUAUGAUAACUGGGAAAGUUCAAAUUCAGCGAGGUAAGCAUAUUUUAGAUGUGGUGGAAGUGGUUUAAGUUCAAGUUUUGAAGGUUUAACAAUGGAAGGGAUUAUAUGUGUGGCCAAUGGUUGUAAUGACUCUAUAAGACAUGAAAUAGUGGAGGGAUAUGGUUUUAAUGAAGGAAAAUUUUGUCCUAGCUAAGAACAUGUGAGAACAUUUGAACACAUAUGCAAACUAAUAACACAUUAAAGUAGGCAUGCAUUAAAAAAAAAUUCUAAAACCCAUGACUUUCAAAGCCUAGUGAAUGGUGAACCACAAGACUCUUUAACAAUAUUAAAGAGAAGGAGGGAUUUAGAGAUUCAUUACCCUUGAAGCUCAUCCUUGUUUACACAAGGGAUUCACCCAAGUGGAGGGUCUUCAAGUCACCUCCUAGCUCUUUGGAUCUUCCUUGUGUUUUUCUUCCUUUUGAUUCUCCUUUGCUCCUUGAGGAUGUGAGGAAAGGAUCUCCAAGAACACCAAAGAUUUGGUGUCUCUAAGUCUCCACACCAAGGAUAAGGUGUGAAGAUGAAAUGGAUGACUUAGAGAAGAAAAGAUUGCUAGCUAAUUCUUCCCUAAGUGGCCAGCCUCCUUUUAGAGAAAAAGAGAGAAAAUGUUUCUCUUCUUUGCCUUAAGAAAACCCUAAUGAGAAAAAGCUAUAAAGUUGACUUUAUACAGCAUCACAUGUGAACUGCAAACUUGUAAUUAAUUCAAGUUUGCAUCCACUUACCCUUAUGGCCGGCCUUGUCUUUGUUAUUGGGCUAAUUGCCCAUUUUGUUUAGUUGUCAUACAACUUAAACAUAAUGGGCCUUGUGGACCAAAACGCUUUUGGGCCCCGAAACCCAAAACCAACUUAAAAGCCUAAUACGAACCUUUCGUAAAAUUAAUUAACUAAUUAAUUAAUCUUGACCAUUCUCAAUUAAACCAUUUAAUCGCUUAUCCAUCUCAUUUAUAUUUCUUCACUUUCAUCCUUACUCGGUGUACGAUCCAUUAGGUUCCAAUUAGCGAGGCAGUGGGCAAUUGUUACUUUUAACGAUCGAUUGUGAAUUGAAACAACAUUUCAAUUCUCCCUUUGUUGAAGAUUAGUAUUUGCUAAUCUUCAGGGCUUCCACAAACCGUGAGUGACACCUAGCAGUAUGUCAUGGCUACCCAAGCUAAGUAGAAGUGGUUGGAGAAUCUAUCCAGUUACAAUUACAAUGCAAUACGGUCAUUUUCUAAUACAAUACUCUUAAUCACAUUGUUUGAGUGAUAGUUUGUUUCAUGUCUACUAUCCAAUGUGAUACUUCUUUAUAUGAUUCAAUUGAAUAUGAUUUGGAACAAACUUCCUAAGUCAUAUUCAUAUGCUUUGGCCAAAGACUCCUGAAUCAUAUCUUAGAGUAUUCUCCCUCCACCAUGGAAGGUUAGGGAUCCCUUGUUGUGUAUUCAUAUGCCUACAUGACUAGAUAUCUUGACCCCAACAAUGUCGUGGACACUCUCGAUGGAAUGCCUUUGACAUCAUCAAAGAUCAAGGACCUAACCAUUAGACAUCUAUGAUGCCUCAGGUCAAAUGACUACUUUGCAUAUUGCAACUAACGAGUUCUUACAUGACAUGUAUGUUCGAACUCUCUUUUGAUCGUUGUUCAGUGUACUCGAUUACCCUUUCGAGCACCUACGUGUUUGUCUUAGUGUCCAACACUAAAUGACUUGAGACUAG
rnacentral:lncRNA from 1 species